UCUCCUCCUUGUCUGCCCAUUCUUGGCCCUUCUGUAACCUGCUGUGCCUCGGGAAGCUGACCCCUGUGCUCUUUCUUACACAGACUUCCUUGCCCCUGGUGGUUUCCUGUUGGGUUUGGCCAGUGAGAGGCAUCAGCAAGAAACUGCUAUCUGGUCACCAUGAAGUGAUGAAUAUGAGAGAAGGAUUAAGAGCACUGCAGAGAUGUGGCCCCUCAUGGCCAAGCCCCUGAACCACAGUCAGCAGCGACUUUCUUCCAGACUUCUAUAGAUUGGACAGAAAUAAAAAGGAUAAUUUGAGCCAGUGUAA